rnacentral:ncRNA from 1 species
AAGAGCCGUAUGAAUCGAGAGGUUCACGUACGGUUCUGUGAGCACCUGAGGGGGAAGUUCCUUCGGGUGACUCGAC